AACGAACGCUGGCGGCAUGCCUAACACAUGCAAGUCGAACGAGACCUUCGGGUCUAGUGGCGCACGGGUGCGUAACGCGUGGGAGCCUGCCCUUAGGUUCGGAAUAACUCCCCGAAAGGGGUGCUAAUACCGGAUAAUGUCUUCGGACCAAAGAUUUAUCGCCUUUGGAUGGGCCCGCGUUGGAUUAGCUAGUUGGUAGGGUAAAAGCCUACCAAGGCGACGAUCCAUAGCUGGUCUGAGAGGAUGAUCAGCCGCACUGGGACUGAGACACGGCCCAGACUCCUACGGGAGGCAGCAGUGGGGAAUAUUGGACAAUGGGCGAAAGCCUGAUCCAGCAAUGCCGCGUGAGUGAUGAAGGCCUUAGGGUUGUAAAGCUCUUUUACCCGGGAUGAUAAUGACAGUACCGGGAGAAUAAGCUCCGGCUAACUCCGUG
rnacentral:rRNA from 1 species